CGGUGCUAAUACCGAAUAGUUUGCGGCCUCUCCUGAGGCUGCACGGAAAGACGGUUUCGGCUGUCACUGCAGGAUGGGCCCGCGGCGCAUUAGCUAGUUGGUGGGGUAAUGGCUCACCAAGGCGACGAUGCGUAGCCGACCUGAGAGGGUGAUCGGCCACACUGGGACUGAGACACGGCCCAGACUCCUACGGGAGGCAGCAGUAGGGAAUCUUCCGCAAUGGACGAAAGUCUGACGGAGCAACGCCGCGUGAGUGACGAAGGUUUUCGGAUCGUAAAACUCUGUUGUGAGGGAAGAACAAGUAUCAUUUAACUGAUGGUACCUUGACGGUACCUCACCAGAAAGCCACGGCUAACUACGUGCCAGCAGCCGCGGUAAUACGUAGGUGGCAAGCGUUGUCCGGAAUUAUUGGGCGUAAAGCGCGCGCAGGCAGUCCCUUAAGUCUGAUGUGAAAGCCCACGGCUCAACCGUGGAGGGUCAUUGGAAACUGGGGGACUUGAGUG
rnacentral:rRNA from 1 species